GUUACUCUAGCCAUACAUUUACAAAUGCAAUGUGCUGUAUCAGCCUCAGAGGUCACAGACAUGGGUGAAAUAGAGCUAUUUUACACAUUACACAUGCAGGGUGGGAGUCUUGUGCUUUAGUCAGUUUUUGUUCUUACUCAGAAACAGCACUUAGACACCUAAUGCAGUGCUUCUCAACUGGUUUGUUUCAGGACCCUGAUUUAAACUUAACCCAUGCACCAAUCAGACAACAACUGGUGAUUUCCGUGGCCAUACGAGGCUGAGACUGUGAUGUUGUCAGAUUAAAAUUGGCUCAGAUGUGACCCAACUCUUCAUCUGUUCUUCAAGGUCAGCCUCUCUUUUCACUGCUGAUCAACCCUUCAGCUCCCCGUCCACCUCUUUCCUGCUAUUUAUGGACUCACCAAGGAUGCUGCAAGGCCUGGUCACAAUUGAACCUCUUCGCUGGAUCCUUCUGCACUCAUAAACAGCAUUGAUGUCAUCUUUUUUCCGAUCUCUCAAUAGAGGCAUCGUAACGCAGGAUUUCAAUGACUAGCAAUGAGUUUUGACACCACCGCACAAGCUCUGAUGGGAAAACAGUUUUGAAUGCAUCCCCUGAUGUUUGAUUUCCUUGAAAUAAAAAGGCACCAUUAGAACAACUUCAUAUUUUUUUACCAAAAUGCCUCACUUUUGACAUGCAGAUGACUAGUGCAAUUCAGUUCAGUUGUGCUUGACAUAUCUACACAUGAAGGAAUAUUUAUUUAUCAUUGAAAUGAGAUCAAUAAUCAGUGAUAGUCUCCCCAAAAUACCCUUUAGAAAAGAGAUCUAAGAAAAAGCUCAAUUACCU